rnacentral:rRNA from 1 species
AACGAACGCUGGCGGCAGGCUUAACACAUGCAAGUCGAACGCCCCGCCAGGGGAGUGGCAGACGGGUGAGUACCGCGUGGGAAUCUACCCAUCCCUACGGAAUAACGCAUGGAAACGUGUGCUAAUACCGUAUACGCCCUACGGGGGAAAGAUUUAUCGGGGAUGGAUGAGCCCGCGUUGGAUUAGCUAGUUGGUGGGGUAAAGGCCUACCAAGGCGACGAUCCAUAGCUGGUCUGAGAGGAUGAUCAGCCACAUUGGGACUGAGACACGGCCCAAAUUCCGACGGAUGGGCGCAGGCGGGAAGAUGGGACACCGGGCGCAAGACGAAUCCCGCCGUGUCGCAGGAGUGAUGAAGGAGUUAGGGUUGUAAAGCUCUUUAACCGGAGACGAUAAGAAGGGUAUCAGGAGAAGAAGCCCCGGUAAAUUUCGU